CAAGUGUCUCAGCCCCAAGAAGGCAGAGCUAGAUCUUGAAUUCAGAUCUCUUGGACUUCAGGAAUCUGUUCUUUUUUGAAUAACUGAAUGUGCUUUUGACCAGAAGGAAUGUUGACAGAGAUAGCAAAAAUGAGCAGUAUCCAUGGACCAAUGUGUUGGAACCACCCAAAGGGUGAGGAGUGUGUCAUCUGGUUUCUGGUCCACUAACUCUACAACCUUAAGGAGAUGCUUCUGGCUGGAUUUCAGAUCCUGCUGCGAAUCACUCUUCAUCCUCCCUGGGGAAGCUGGACCGUGCUGUGCCCAGCCCUGCAGCUAGAUCCUUCUGUGAUAUGAGUACAAUGGUUCUAGUUCCUGUCACCUUCUCGGGGGAGUCAUUUAAACUCAAGGACAUCCAAAAAGUUACAGUCAGCACCUGCCCCCCAGGCCCCCCCCCGGGCUUUCAGCAGAUACCGUACCCUUCCUCUGCUUCUA